rfam:Enterobius vermicularis genome assembly, scaffold: EVEC_scaffold0002301
CCAACGGCCCUCUUUAGGGCCACAAUUCUGUAAACUGAUGUUACCU